GGGCAAAGGGCAAAGGACAGGGGCGAGAUGUGCUCGGAUUCUGCAUCUGGGAAGACUUCUCUGACUUCACAGCAACGCGGAGAAUGUGUCGGAACGGGGAAGAAAAUGGGGCUGAUGGCCCCAGGACUCCUGGAAGAUGAUAUGUGGCAAUAACUGUCACCCAGAGCCACCAAAGCACUUCACCUGCCCUGCCUUGUAGCCUGCCCUGCCUUGUAGUGCUUCUGCCGGGUGUCACUGCUAUUUGUAUGUUAAUUAGACUGGGGGUUCCCCGAGAGUGGCUUGUAUCUCCGUGACCCCUGUGUCUCCGCCGGGGCCCUGCACAGUGUCUGCUACACCGGAGCAGCAAAAUAAAUGGGGCUGGUUGAAGGAGUAAGCUAAGGCCAGCUAACUGCUCUCAAGCGCCUUUAAUUAUGGUCUUUGGUGCCCUCUUACCGCUUCAUCUUAUUUAUCACUCUUUUCCUGAGACCUUCUAAGAUAGAAUGCAGACACAAACGUGCGCAUGCACACACACGCACGCUGGCUUAAUAUAUGCACAGUGGAAGCUGAAUACAUCUCGCUGGGACACUUCCACACUUGUUAAGACAGUUCCCAAAACACAUUAAAAAAUGAUGGAUUGUGCCGUCCCGGCUCCUUGUUCGUUUUAGCACGAUAGAAUUUCUUGAUAGUGUCUGAUUUCAGAGCACACCUGUAGACCUAGUGACAGCCUGCGCUCCUGGGUGGGUUUGGAAAAGCGCUUAUUUGUUCUGAAGCUAAAAUUAAACUGCAAGUUUUUACAUGUUGUUUAGCGGCAGCAGCUGAUGCAAAUCUUUGUCAACACGGAACUUUUCACACCUCAGGUUUCAACUACAGUAAGUGGAUUACUAUGUAAGACUGGCAUUGGGUUUUUGGCACUGAGAAUGAAUGAACUAGCUUGGAGAAAUUAAAAGUCAUGCUCUUUAUCUUCCUUUGAGUUACAAUCUUUUAAUUUUAAGAAUUUUCAGAAUUUGGGCCACUUUUGUUCUUUCGUAGCACUUUUGAGUUUCCUCGUUCCAGCCAGGAUGCCUGGACGGAAAAGGGAAGCGCCAAGCGCUUGUGUUGGUGAGGUGAUCGUCUUUCCUGGAGAGGGAAGUGGCCUUGUCUGGAGUCUGAAACGCUAAUCUCGCCACGCUCUGGUUUGCCGUGCUG
rnacentral:lncRNA from 1 species